rfam:Arabis alpina cultivar Pajares chromosome 1, whole genome shotgun sequence.
AUGUCCCCAUGAGUUCCCUUUAACGCUUCAUUGUUAAUACUCAAAAACCACAUUUAUAAUCUCAAAUGUUUGAUCGGUUUUUGUAUGUAAUUAACACUGAAGUGUUUGGGGGGACUCUUGGAGCCAU